CCUCUCAGCUUACAGCCUGUUACCAAAACAAAACAGGAAAACAUGGUGCAAAACUAAAACCUAUAUAAAACCCCUUUUAAGACUGUUUCAGUUAGUGCUAAAAUCCUGGCGCGGGUGUGAACAACGGUUAUAGAGCAAUGGCGAGAAAAUUGUUUGUGCAGCAGUCUUCUACAGUUUCUUUGUCUGCGUUUACUCUACGCCGCCCUUUAACCAAAGGCCUCAAUCCUCGCAAUGAUUAUAUUACUGCAAGAAUUAACCGCUUCCCAAAUCAGAGUAAUUCCAAAGUUGUUUCUGGCUCUGCUUCUGCUUCUAUUUCUGCUCUGUGCAGUGUCCGUGGAAACGGAAACCCAAGCACACCAAUAGGUUCCUUUAAUGAGUUGAUUGAAUCUUUGAUAAAUCGAGUGGAUUUAACGGAGUCUGAGGCAGAGGCGUGUCUGGAAUUUUUGUUAACUGAAGCUAAUGAGGCUCUGAUUAGUGCUUUUCUUGUUUUGUUGAGAGCCAAAGGCGAGACCUUUGAAGAAGUUGUGGGCUUGGCGAGAGCAAUGAUAAAGCAUGCUUGGAAGUUAGAAGGGUUAAAUGAUGUGGUUGACAUUGUUGGAACGGGUGGUGAUGGGGCAAAUACGGUGAAUAUUUCCACAGGUGCUUCAAUAUUGGCUGCAGCUUGUGGUGCAAAAGUUGCCAAGCAAGGGAACCGAUCCAGUUCAUCUGCAUGUGGAAGUGCUGAUGUAUUGGAAGCUUUGGGGGUAGUUAUUGAUUUGGACCCAGAGGGAGUAAUGAGCUGUGUGAAUGAAGCUGGAAUUGGUUUCAUGAUGGCACCAAAGUACCACCCGGCAAUGAAGAUUGUGAGCCCUGUUAGAAAGAAGCUAAAGAUUAAAACUGUGUUCAAUAUAUUGGGCCCUAUGUUGAACCCUGCAAGAGUACCUUUCGCUGUUGUUGGUGUUUACACUGAAGAUCUAGUUUUCAAAAUGGCUAAAGCACUUCAACGGUUUGGCAUGAAACGAGCCUUAGUUGUGCACUCAGAGGGUUUAGAUGAAAUGAGUCCCCUUGGGCCUGGGCGAAUCCUUGAUGUUACUCCAGAGAAAAUUGAGAAGUUCUCAUUUGAUCCGUUGGAAUUCGGUGUUCCACGUUGUACGCUAGAUGACCUGCGAGGUGGUGGACCGGGGUACAAUGCCGAUGUAUUGAAGCACAUACUCUCAGGGGAAAAAGGGCCCAUUGCAGAUGCACUUAUUCUUAAUGCAGCAGCAGCUCUUCUAGUCAGUGGCCGUGUGAAGUCCCUUGCUGAAGGAGUAGCUUUGGCUCGUGAGACACAAUUAUCGGGAAAAGCUCUAAACACACUUAAUUCAUGGAUAGACAUCUCCAACAAAGUGAAAGAAAAGACAAUAGUACAAUAAAGCUCUGGGCUCUGAAAACUGGAUAUCUAUUUUGAAAUUUUGGGAUUUCUUUCUACUACAAUAAAACAUAUUUAAUAUGUUGUUAUGUAGUCAACCCCGGAAUAAGGGAUGUUGUUGUUGCCCAAUCCAGUUGCUAUUAUUUCGAGACAAGCAUGAAAUAUUUGGUACUCCACAAGAACAAAGAGCUUUGAAGUAAAUGAAUCCAGGUAAAUAGUAAAUUAAAUAAUUAUAGUUAUUUAUAUUAUUUAAUUGUAUAACACAUUCAAAUUUAAUUGAAAUAAUUUUAUAUAGCUAAGUGGUGAAUAAUAUAUGACACUUGUAUUCCUGAAUUACAAAAACUAGCAAUCAAAGUGCUUAGUUAAAUA